UCACCAGCUCAGGAACCUCCCAUAAGGAAUCUACCACAGUCACCAUCUCAGAUACAUGAAGCAGAGAGUGAUACAGCAGCCACUGACCCCAGUCCAACAUAGAAUAACUCCAGUAAAACUUACAUGAACAGGGGGGGCAACUCAAGGAAAAGGUUGACAAAAUAGAAAAAUUGAACAGAAAACUUGAACUUGAAAAGUUUG